UAUAAAUGAUGCUACAAUAGAUCCUUCUGACCCUUCCAUUACUGUACUCAAGGAAAGGGAUAUGAGGACAAAGAUGCACUGAUAUA